GUGAUGUGUCUGAUCUCUGGUGCAGCUCUCCUGCUCUCCAUGCUCUCCAAUCGAUGCUUUUUGGCGGAUUUGAGGCCAUCAUAACAACAUGAUACACAAGUUCUGCUUGUGCAGAGUCUGUCAUCAGUCUGUCUGUCUCACCUGUCAUCACCAAAUAUCUCAGCAUGAUCUCAGCAUCACCGCUUAGUUACACAGUGCUCAUCCCAUUGAAUUGGCAAAACUACCGAUGU